GUGAACUACAACACUUGACCCAGAGCAGACACUCAAAUAAAUGGUAUUUGCCAUUAUUUUUGUUAUCAUCCUGCUUUUACAAGUGGGGUUUGAAGAGCCAACGCUGAUACUCAGGUGGGAUCUAACCAUCACCAAACGGAGUGAGAUUGUCAUCCUCCAACACCAAUGGACACCUACCUGGGUAUAUCCAAUUCAGAAGCCAGAGAUCACAACAGUCCUAGUUCCACACAGUGAAUUUCUGGUUAGUGAAAACCAGAACAAAACCAAAACAAAAUGACAACCACAAAACUUCAUCUGAUUUAUAAAAUCAAGAAUUUGAUUUGUAUGAACUCCAGAAUUUCAAGGAUCAUACCUUUGCCAAAAGCUAGAUGUAGGUUGGAGCCAUAUGAAGAGUCCUGGCCAAUGAAUGGUGAGCAGAAGUGCUUUUUUCUGUGUCACUUUUGUGCUGACAUCUAAGAGCUGGUGUGCUUCCUCCAUUUUUUUUUUUUCCCCUAAGAGUUCCAGAUGGCAUAGCGCUAAGAUGGAGGAUGGUGAUAAGAGAGAGAAAUAAAUUCUCACUGGAUUAAGUCACUGAGAUCUGGGGUUUGCUAUUGUAGCAGCUAGCAUCAAUUGCCUUGAUUAAUAUAAUAGGUGAUACUCUUAAUGUUAGAAAGUUAUUGGACAAACUGGGGCCAUUAUCCAGACCAAGAAAUCACAG